UCACAGUGUGGUUAAAGAACAAUUGAUUUGGACCCAGUUUCGCCACUGUUUUUCAUUAAUACAAUUAUUAUUAAUAUUCCCUUUAAAUAAUAGUUUUCAAAGCUCUGUCUGUCAGGACUCUGAACUGCUUUUACUGGCCAUCAUCAGUUUACAAACUUAUUGUUACUUAAUCCUGGCAAAUGCUUACAAACAGAAAACCAAGUCCAUUAUAUUGUUGCCUCAAAGAAAUCAGUUUAAUUUAGAACAACCUGCUUCUAGUAAGCUCACUGUAGUUGUGCAUUUCUGUCAAAAGACAAUUAUCCCUCAGAGAGAUCAAAUGGUGUUAUACAGAAGUUUUAAUAUUUACCAGUGUAAAUGAGUAACAGCUCAUGAAUAUUAAUGCUCACCCUCCAUCCAGAGAGGACUCUUUGGUAAGUGGUUCUGCUGCUACUGGGUUUCAAUAGCCAGGUCAGACACCAUGUAACUGAGCACAGCCCGUCAAGCAGAAAUUAAAUCUAUCAGAGGAAGACAGAUUAAACUCUAUACGGGUGAGUUCACUCUCUCCAUGACUCACCAAACCGUUUGAGGGUCACAGACUCCUGUCAAACAAAUGUCCAUGUGGUCACAGUAGACACUAAAGCACAAAAGACAACUGACACACUGGGGAUUUGCAGAGAGGAUCUUCAGCUGACAAGCAAUAGCCAGCCCCAGUGCUCUGCUUCACCAGAGUAAAGCACAGCCAAAGAGAAAACAGGAUCUGUGUGAGGCUCCUGCAUCCCAAAAAAAACACUGCAACUUGGGGUUAGACAGUGUUGAAGACAUGCCCCUUCAAUUUUCUACAGCCAGGAUCUCCCUGUCAUGUACUUUUAGCACUUUGAUUGAACUUUGGUCAGAUUUAAGAGAGGUUUGGUUCCACUAGAUAGGACUCGGUUUGAAAAAUGGUCUCUUGUUUGCUACUUUGAAGUUUAAAUAUUAUAGCAAUAUUCCUUGUCCUUCCUAUUGAACUAGUUCUAAAUUAAAACCAAGGAAAAUUCAACAAUCGUGUCCCUAGCACCUGCAGUACUGUGUUUGCAGUCAGAGUGCAAACAGGAAGAGAACACUGCUCCUCUGCUAAACCAAUAUUUAACUAACAGCCUGCUCUACAUAGAUAUGUAAAUAUCAUACAAGUGACUAAUUAAAAAGCUCAUCUCUCUGUUAUCAGGCCUGGACUUCAUUAGUACACCAUCUCAGAGCAUCUUCCACAGAUUUAUUUUGAUUAACAGGGCUGCAAACUACAUAUGUAUGUCAAUCAUAUGGUCAUGGCUUAUCUGGAAAGCCCAGCCACCCCCUCCACUGCAGUUCUAUCACUACUCCUCAGAAGAGGCAGCAGCCUCAACGGGAGCCUUGUUCCCCACCACAGAGGCACUCUUAAGAGUUUUGAUUAAGAAAAUAUUCCGAAAGACAGAGGGAUUUUAGAGGGUUUUCCUAACAGUAAGGCCAAAGAGGCAGCAGAUCAGGGCUCUGCUUAUCAGCUCCCCUCCCUCCCUAGAGCAAAGUAAUUUGGGGAGCUGCAGGAAUGCCCCAAUGGAAAGGGAGUAAUCUUCCUGAGAGCCAUUUUCCUCCUCAUCACUGUUCCCACAGGAGACAUGAGAUAAUACAUCCCAUCAGGAUCCUUCAAUCUGUCAAAUACAAACUUAGAUGUUCAAAUACCUGUAGGGUCAGCGGGUCAGCUUUGCAUCAUCUCAUGUCUGGCUGUUCCAAUUUUGCCCUGAAAAUGUUUUUGUUAAGACACAUCACAGGUUUUCCUGCAUGGUUCUAGAAGAAUCAAGCCGAAUGAAAACAGUAAAUUCAUUAUGUAGGAUGACAUUUUAAAGCAAAUGUACCAUAGUUACAUGACAGUCCUCCCCCAGCUCAAAUAACUUUCAGCUGGUGUUAGCUCCAGAAUGCGAGACAACAGCUUUCUAUAUCAAAAUACACUUACUGUCAAGAAAUCCCAGUAUCCCCAUCCCAAGGUAAGGUGAAGGGGUUAAGAUCUGACAGCAGAAAUACCACAUGUGCCUCUGGCUUAUCAGAUUUAUAGAUUUAUUCUGUAAAAAUCCUGAAUAUCUGUUGGGGAUGUUUCCCUCUAUUUUUAGAACAUGUCUGAAUACCUGCAGUUCCAUUUCUUGCCUGGAGCAUCAACAAACAUACACGUAUGUUACACGUUUGGGAAAGACAGAUGGAAAAACCUGAAAUUUCUGAGCAUGUAGGCCCCCCAGUGGCUUAAGCCAGCCUGAGGUCAUGCCACCCCACUAUUCCCACCCAUCCCACACCAUUCCCACCCACCUCUUGCUUGCUCCUGUAAGAAGCACUUUGGGAAGGUAAAAGGGGGAGAAGCAAAAAGGUGGAUAAGCCACAGAGCACCAGCAGUGUCUGGAAUUUGGAAAAUCCUAUUUAAACAAACAGGAAAGGAUUAAAACUCUACGAAUUGGCUUAGCCCCUUCCUAAAUCCACCUAUGUGUAUCAUAUCCCUGACACUGGCAGCAAAGCACGGCACAGACCACAGACCUUUGCAUUUCUGCUUUUCCCCAGGGACUGCGAGCUACAGCUCUUGGUUGUGACCCAGCCCCGCACGGGGCCAUCGCUGGCUUGUGCUUGGGUAAAACCAUUUGUGGGUGCUUUUGGUGCAAGUCUGGGAACUGCUUCUGUGAAAGCACCUGCACCCAUUUUCUUUACCUGGGAAGCAGAGGUCACACCUGAAGGAAGUCCAUGGACGCCAAGGACAAUCUGCUCUCUGAACUCCACCGCAGGCUCUGCCCUCUGCUGUUAACCUCUUCCAGUCCCUGGUGAACAGGAGCUGUCCUGAUGCCAAACGAGUCUCACCAAGCAGACAACAGCACAGAGCAGUGGACUGCUGCCCUGAGUUACAGACCACUCCUGGAGAAAAAGCUAACACAUAUUCAAGAGGUGACCACUUGUAUCAUCUGGAUUAUUACAGGCAAUUGAAGACUAAUAAAUAAAUUUAAAUGCAAACAUCUUUCAAAGAGUGCUAA